rnacentral:rRNA from 1 species
CAAUAGCGUAUAUUAAAGUUGCUGCAGUUAAAAAGCUCGUAGUUGGAUCUCGGGCGCGAGCUAGUGGUCUUCCAUCCGGUUGUCACUACUAGUCUCGGCCUAACUGCCGAUUUUCUAUGGAUGCUCUUUACUGGGUGUUCAUAGUAAUCGGAACGUUUACUUUGAAAAAAUUAGAGUGCUCAAAGCAGGCGUCAGCCUGGAUACUGUUGCAUGGAAUAAUGGAAUAGGAUCUCGGUUCUAUUUUGUUGGUUUUCGGAACUUGAGAUAAUGAUUAAGAGGGACAGACGGGGGCAUUCGUAUUGCGCCGUUAGAGGUGAAAUUCUUGGAUCGGCGCAAGACGAACAACUGCGAAAGCAUUUGCCAAGAAUGUCUUCAUUAAUCAAGAACGAAAGUCAGAGGUU